UUUAUUCUUGACAUCGAGCACCACCACACCAACCAACGACAAACAACACCGAUUAGUCACUAUCGUGCAACACCAUUGUCGCUCGUUUAUUCUCCCUACUGUCGUUCAACUCUCUAUUUCUCCACCAAAACAAUCGCACCUCCGUACCCCACGACAACACUACCUCCUCAUCGCCAAACACCUUCGUUAAAUACCUAAAACUCACUCACG
rnacentral:lncRNA from 1 species